CAAGUCGAACGGCACCCCUCUCCGGAGGGAAGCGAGUGGCGAGCGGCUGAGUAACACGUGGAGAACCUGCCCCCUCCCCCGGGAUAGCCGCCCGAAAGGACGGGUAAUACCGGAUACCCCCGGGCGCCGCAUGGCGCCCGGGCUAAAGCCCCGACGGGAGGGGAUGGCUCCGCGGCCCAUCAGGUAGACGGCGGGGUGACGGCCCACCGUGCCGACAACGGGUAGCCGGGUUGAGAGACCGACCGGCCAGAUUGGGACUGAGACACGGCCCAGACUCCUACGGGAGGCAGCAUG
rnacentral:rRNA from 1 species